UACGGAGGGUGCAAGCGUUGCUCGGAAUUAUUGGGCGUAAAGGGUAGGUAGGUGGUCUCAUUUGUCUGGGGUGAAAGCCUUGAGCUUAACUCAAGAAGUGCCCCAGAAACGGUGAGACUGGAGUCCUGGAGAGGGUCGUGGAAUUCCCGGUGUAGCGGUGAAAUGCGUAGAGAUCGGGAGGAACACCAGAGGCGAAAGCGGCGACCUGGACAGAUACUGACACUCAACUGCGAAAGCGUGGGGAGCAAACAGG
rnacentral:rRNA from 1 species